GCAGAUCCAGGUCCCGCCUCUGAUGCUUUAUGAAAGCUGGCUUCGCUCUGUUCAUCACUCUGCUGAUCAGACUGACAUCAUGCUGCUCACCGUCUGCGCUCUGCUCCCUGCUCUGGCAGUGGUCAGCUCACAGAAAGUAGUGACGCAAAAGCCUCCAGUUAUAACAGUAGAUAAGGGGAACUCUGUCACUAUGGACUGUAACAUCGCAAAGGAUGAAGGCAACUAUGUCUCCUGGCAUAAACAGAUUCCACCAGCAGCUCCAGAGUUUGUGUUGAGAUUUUAUUAUUCUCACUCCGCUCCUAAUAAAUACGGAGACAAUUUUUCAUCUACACGCUUCACAUCUAAAGCCUCAUCAAGCAUCGACUAUCAGUUAAUAAUCAGUAAUGUGGAGGUGGGAGACUCAGCAGUGUAUUACUGUGAGACAUGGGACAGCUCUGCUAGUGCAGUUGUACCACAGUGA